rnacentral:rRNA from 1 species
UACGUAGGCAGCGAGCGUUGUUCGGAGUUACUGGGCGUAAAGAGUGCGUAGGCGGCGGCCCAAGUCUGGUGUGAAAUCUCCCGGCUCAACCGGGAGGGUGCGCCGGAAACUGGGUUGCUUGAGUGCCGGAGAGGCAGGCGGAAUUCCUGGUGUAGCGGUGAAAUGCGUAGAUAUCAGGAGGAACACCCGUGGUGUAGACGGCCUGCUGGACGGCAACUGACGCUGAGGCACGAAAGCGUGGGGAGCAAACAGG